rnacentral:rRNA from 1 species
UCUACGGGUGGCAGCAGUGGGGAAUAUUGCACAAUGGGGGAAACCCUGAUGCAGCGACGCCGCGUGAGUGAAGAAGUAUCUCGGUACGUAAAGCUCUAUCAGCAGGGAAGCAAAUGACGGUACCUGAAUAAGAAGCCCCGGCUAACUACGUGCCAGCAGCCGCGGUAAUACGUAGGGGGCAGGCGUUAUCCGGAUUUACUGGGUGUAAAGGGGGCGUAGACGGCGAUGCAAGUCCGGAGUGAACGCCCAGGGCUAAACCAGGGUACUGCUCUGAAACUGUCGAGCGUGAGUGCGGGAGGGGCAGGCGGAAUUGCUGGUGUAGCGGUGAAAUGCGUAGAUAUUAGGAGGAACACCGGUGGCGAAGGCGGCCUGCUGGACCGUAACUGACGUUGAGGCUCGAAAGCGUGGGGAGCAAACAGGAUUAGAUACCCGAGUAGUC